ACUCGACUCACUCUCCCUCUCUUCUAAUUUUGCAAUUUCAUUUUCCUCUCGUUGCAGCACACACAUACCUUCAACAUUAUUUUCUUCUUCUUUCCUAUACAAUACAAACCCAUUCUCCAUUUUCUUCAUUUUCUUUGGUACUACAGCCGCUCAUCAUCAUCAUAUUUCAUCAUCUCCUCAUCACCAUGCCAUCUUCUUACCAUCAUCAAUUCUUCUCCCACGAGAAGCUACCACGCACAUCAUGCUUCUUCUUCCCCAUUUCUUUUCUAUUUUCUGCAGCAAGGAACAACAUCACCACGUUCCUUCCUUCGUGCAAACCACGCACACCAUGUUUCUUUCUCCCACGCGAGCACAUCUCCAACUCCGACGAGAACAACACCAAGACCCAUGUCUGUUCUUGCUUGAGAGUCACCUCAAAACCCCAAGAAAACGCUGGUUAUGACCAGCAACACGAAGAUGGACAGCCACUGAAGCCGUUGGAGCAAGCACCGACGAGAUCUGGGGGUUUUCCGGCGAGCUUAAGGCCGCAAGCACCACCUCACCAUCACGCGAGUUUCUCCCCUUUUUGUGCAGCCACCACUGCCGCUCCGGACAGCCACCAACCACCAUCGCAGAGAGCUCCAGCUAGCCACAACCAUGAGCUCAACGACCACGAAAAAAAAACGUGAGCAAAAACAGAAGAGAAAGCAACGUGAAAACAGAGUUGAAACGCCAAGCCGGCAUCGCCGGCGUCAACAACUUUUCUCUUUGAUUCCGGUGUCCUCGGGCCUCCGUUCACAGCGAGGUUAGUCCCAUUGGAACCCUUGCGACCACCACAACAAAACCCAUGUUCCGGAUCGUCAUUCCGUCGCCGUCGACCGUCGCCGCUGCCGCCUUCGGGAGCUUUAUCCGGUCAACUCCGGCGACCAAUGUAAAAAUGGAGUGUACUGCAACGAUCCAUGUCGCGAGGAGAGUAAAUCCCUAUUUUCAAUUUCAUAUUUGGGUUAUUUCAUUCGACGAUCCCGACGACCACCGUCGACCUUCGGCUGAACUUUCUGGGCAAACUGUCGAUUCUUUGGUGAAACGGCGUUGAGCUUCUGGCCGCGAAAGGAUGAAGGAACACCCUUCCUUUGUGUCUCCGGCGACAGUUCCUCCGUCAACCUCGUGAGCCGCAACUUUUUCUGACGACUCUUCGCCGACAAGUUUCUAAAACUUGGUUUUCGUACGAUGAACGGAAACACCUUGCAUCGAAGCUACACAAUGGAAGGAAUCGAGCCGACGCAGGCAAACAAAGAUGUAAUCGGAUCGGAGUUGCACCUUAGUACGGAAAUUGGCAAAGACGCUCAACAGCUGUUUCGUGAUGCUUCGUCAUUCGGGGAGGACCCGGAGCGAAAUGACUACUACUGAGCCUUCGACGUGGACUCGGACUGAAUGCAUGACCAGAUGAGGGUCGAUGAUGGAAGUAUAGGGUAUGGGUGUUUAGAGCCUACUAAGGUUGGGCGUUAGUGUCAUAGCUCUGAUGGUCAUUUCUUAUUUUGGGUUAGGGUAGGUUCCCAACUAUUAGCUUUUUGUGUGAUUCCCUUCCAUGAGGAUCACAGGGAGUUGUCGGACGUAGGAAGUCUUUCGGAGGCCGUUUUGGGCUUUCUUACUUUCUUGGAGGACUGUAUUUAUAAAACUUAUGACUCUAGCUAUGAGUCGCACUUAUUUGCCUGCGGGCAUUACUUUCAGUUACUUGGUGUUGCUUUCCGUCACUUGAGGACACUCGUGACAAUGUUUUUAGUUACAACGAGGACUGUACUUAUAUCGUAUAUUAGUCGUUGUUAAACGCGA